UUGACCUACGGGGCGCAGCAGUGAGGAAUAUUGGUCAAUGGACGAGAGUCUGAACCAGCCAAGUAGCGUGAAGGAUGACUGCCCUAUGGGUUGUAAACUUCUUUUAUAUGGGAAUAAAAUGUUCCACGUGUGGGAUUUUGUAUGUACCAUAUGAAUAAGGAUCGGCUAACUCCGUGCCAGCAGCCGCGGUAAUACGGUGGAUGCGAGCGUUAUCCGGAUUUAUUGGGUUUAAAGGGUGCGUAGGCGGAUUUUUAAGUCAGCGGUAAAAUGUCCGGGCUCAACCCGGGCCGGCCGUUGAAACUGGG
rnacentral:rRNA from 1 species